AAUGAAGUAGUUAAGUUAAUUCUAAUUUGUCAAGUUAGGGAUGAUAGUAUUC
rnacentral:tRNA from 1 species